CAUCAACGCUGGCGGCGCGCCUCAGACAUGCAAGUCGAACGAUUAAAGCUCUCUUCGGAGAGUGCAUAGAGUGGCGCACGGGUGAGUAACACGUAAGUAAUCUACCCUCGAGUGGGGAAUAACGUCCGGAAACGGGCGCUAAUACCGCAUAAUGCAGCGGCAUCAUAAGAUGACAGUUGUUAAAGAUUUAUCGCUUGAGGAGGAGCUUGCGGCAGAUUAGCUAGUUGGUAAGGUAACGGCUUACCAAGGCUACGAUCUGUAACCGGUCUUAAAGGACGGUCGGUCACACUGACACUGAAUAACGGGUCAGACUCCUACGGGAGGCAGCAGUCGGGAAUUUUGGGCAAUGGGCGAAAGCCUGACCCAGCAACGCCGCGUGAAGGAUGAAGUAUUUCGGCAUGUAAACUUCGAAAGAAUAGGAAGAAGUAAUGACGGUACUAUUUAUAAGGUCCGGCUAACUACGUGCCAGCCGCCGCGGUAACAC
rnacentral:rRNA from 1 species